rnacentral:rRNA from 1 species
GUGGGGAAUAUUGCACAAUGGGCGCAAGCCUGAUGCAGCAACGCCGCGUGAGGGACGACGGCCUUCGGGUUGUAAACCUCUUUUAGCAGGGAAGAAGCGAAAGUGACGGUACCUGCAGAAAAAGCACCGGCUAACUACGUGCCAGCAGCCGCGGUAAUACGUAGGGUGCAAGCGUUGUCCGGAAUUAUUGGGCGUAAAGAGCUCGUAGGCGGUUUGUCGCGUCUGCUGUGAAAACCCGAGGCUCAACCUCGGGCCUGCAGUGGGUACGGGCAGACUAGAGUGCGGUAGGGGAGAUUGGAAUUCCUGGUGUAGCGGUGGAAUGCGCAGAUAUCAGGAGGAACACCGAUGGCGAAGGCAGAUCUCUGGGCCGUAACUGACGCUGAGGAGCGAAAGCGUGGGGAGCGAACAGGAUUAGAUACCCGAGUAGUCC